AAACGACCGUCCUCUUUCCGGCCACCCUUCCGCCCGCAUCCCUCCAGCUUCCGGCGGGCGGGUGUGCGCGCGCCGCCUAACGACCUUCUGGGCCGACGGUCGGCAGGCGGCGGCGGCGUGUGAAUGGAGGCCUCGGCCCCGGGCCGGGCGCGGCGGGGCUGGCGGCGGGCCAGGGCCGCGGGGUCCCCGCUCUCCCGGGCCGCGGUGGUCCUGGUGGUCUCCGCGCUGGUGCUCUGGGCGCCCCCGUCAGUUGGAUAUUUGGAUCGAUUACCAAGAAAUGCUAACUUGCCCCAAGAUUCAGUGAAAAUAGUGGGAUCACCAAAUAUUCCAGUGAAAGUAUAUGUUAUGCUCCAUCAAAAGAGUCCACAUGUGUUAUGUGUAACCCAGCGUCUGCGGAAUUCCGAACUGAUAGACCCAUCAUUCCAGUGGCAUGGGCCUAAAGGAAAAAUCAUUUCAGAAAACAGCACUGCACAAAUCACCUCCACAGGAAGCCUUGUAUUCCAGAACUUUGAGGAAAGCAUGAGUGGUGUUUAUACAUGUUUUCUGGAGUAUAAACCUACUGUGGAAGAAGUCAUUAAAAAUCUCCAACUGAAAUAUGUUGUAUAUGCUUAUCGUGAGCCGCAUUAUUAUUACCAGUUCACAGCUCGAUAUCAUGCAGCUCCUUGUAACAGUAUCUAUAAUAUUUCUUUUGAGAAGAAACUUCUUCAGAUUUUAAGCAAACUUGUUCUUGACCUUUCAUGUGAAGUUUCCUUACUCAAGUCUGAAUGUCAUCGUGUUAAAAUGCAAAGGGCUGGUUUGCAAAAUGAAUUGUUUUUUACAUUUUCAGUUUCAUCUCUAGACACUGAAAAAGGACCCAAGCCAUGUGCAGACCAUAGUUGUGAAUCUUCCAAAAGACUAUCUAAGGCUAAAAAUCUCAUAGAGCGGUUUUUUAAUCAACAAGUGGAAGUUUUGGGCAGACGUGCAGAGCCAUUGCCUGAGAUAUACUAUAUUGAAGGUACCCUCCAAAUGGUUUGGAUUAAUCGCUGCUUCCCAGGGUAUGGAAUGAAUAUCCUGAAACACCCACGAUGUCCUGAGUGCUGUGCUUUAGGCCAUUACAAAUAAAGCUGCUGUGAACCUUCCUGGACAAGUCUUUGUGUGGACAAUACCUAUGACUGCGAUUGCUGGGUCAUACGUAAUCUGCAGCCCUGGAUCUUAUAACUCCCGUGAUGGAAUUCACUGCCUUCAGUGCAAUAGCAGCCUGGUGUUUGGAGCAAAAGCAUGUUUAUAGGCCAUCAUUUUGAGCUCGACGAUGGUUUGUCAAACACAAAAGUUUAUUUUUGAAGUAUUAAUAUAUAAUAAAUCACUAUUAUGCCAAAAUUAAAUGUAUUAGAUUUUACCAAAAAAA